CAGGAGGAGGAGGAGGGGCAGGGAGGAGGAGGAGCGGGGGGGAGACGCAGGGAGAAAGGGAGAGGAGGCUACAGACAGGCGAACCGCUAUCCGCGGCCCGGUCAUUGUCCGAGACGAGACGCCAUGCACUGGCCCCGUCGGGUGUCCUGGCCGUGAAGAGACACCGCCCUGCUCACCUUGAUCACCCGAGGUGCCACCGGUGGCCGUGGCAUGGUCGGUGCCCGUCGGUGUUAACGCCACACAAUUCGAGCACCGACUUGGCUUGCAGGGAUGUGGGGCAUCUCAUUCCUCAGUGUGCCGGAAAACGUCCUGGCAAGGA